rnacentral:tRNA from 1 species
UGGGGUGUAGCCAAGCGGUAAGGCACGGGGUUUUGGACCCCGCAUGCGCAGGUUCGAAUCCUGCCGCCCCAGCCA